AACCCAAUCAUUCUCGUAAACCUCCUCUGGACCCUGUCCAAUUCUCCGCAGAUUUUUCAAAAUUGAUUUUUCUCCUCUCAAAAUAGCUGCUCACUCACUCCUCGACUAUUGAAGGUAGAAAGAAAUCUUAGUUCUGGUCCUUUUAUCAGUUGGUGGCCUGAUGUGUUGCCCCAUUGAAGAAUCCAUAAAGAUGUACCAUAACAUUGGGCCACUGAUGCCUUGACCUCAUUCCUUCUAUAUGUUUCUCAACAUUGGAGGCCAUUGAGGCUCUCGACUCAAUGCUGGCUGUAGGGCUAUUCCUAUCAGGCUUAAUCUCUCACUUAUUUUCCUGUAACCUAUUCUCUCACAUGGCCAUCAACUUCAGUUUAAUGAUUAAAUGUAAUAUUUGUUCCAUU